UGGACAUAAGCAACAUGAUUUUAAAAGAUCCUAGCAUUAAUCUUCUCUUCCUGAGUAAUAGGCCAGAGUCUUGUUUCACAGAACUUUUCAUUCUGGGAAGUUAGCCUGAAAAGUCUUAAUUUCCUAUAAGGGACACUGAGCAUGACUUUCAAUACAGAGCCCAGGAAAGAGCUGAAGAUAUGGGCAAGACCCGAGUUUGGACGCUAGAUUCUUACUAAGAGAACUUCCUCCCUCUCAGCCCGUUUCUUCUUUGGUAAAAUGUGGAGCCUGACACCACAAAACAGGACUAUCGGGUGAGACAACAGAUGGGAAAGUGACCUGGAAACAUUAGGGCGUAGAGAAGCCGUUUGUAUUUAUUUUAAUAACUUCCUUUCUCUCUUUGUUUUCCUUGCUCCUGGACGUAAUGAAAUUGGAUCAUUUUUAUGGCCCCCAUUUGUUUGUUUUGUUUAAGAAGGAAGGAUCGAUAUCUAACAAUGGCAUUGCAAUUCUCUCGGGCUCACGUGUCACCAAAGAAUCUCCAAUACAAUCUGUCACAGAAGCCCAUUCAAGCAAAGGGCCCCGUCGGGCUGAUCCUAACAGCCUAAGACCCAAGGGCGGUAAUGAGGUCAUGCUUCAGCUGCAUCUGAAGAAGGCAGCUACUCAUAUUUCACAGGAGGUCUUCCACCCGGACAAGUCAGAGAAUCAGGGUUCACUCUAUGAAACCACUCAGGAUCUAUGCCAGCACCAUUAAAACUAUGGCUGCCACUUCUAAAGACUCGCUCUGUGCUAGGCCCCUAGUUAGGGCUCCCAGCCACCAUUCUGUUCAGUCCUCACAGCACCCUGAGGAGUCCCCACUUGAAGAAAUGGAGAUGAAAAGAGAAGCGAUUGACCCAGCACCUGCUAGGUGGCAGAGCUGGGAUUUAAACCCAGGAAUCUGCCACGCCCGUGUCUGACUGCCUUCCACUCCCUGACUUUCCAUGAAAGGAUGGGCAAGACAGGGUGUUCCGGAGUCUUUGCUUUCCCCAUUUUCAAGCAUAGGCUCAGGUGCCAGAAUAUCAUCCACUUCGCUGCCUGUUGAGAAUGUUGACUUUUGCCACGUACAUUCUGAGACCUUCCCUGAGGAUGCCGUGCGUGGUCGUGGCCUUGACCGAGUCACCCCGCUCAAAUGUAAUCCCAAUGGGUCUCAUGCCACCGAAAACCUGCUCUCUAUCUUCAGAGAUGUCUCAGGGAAGCAGGAGAACACGCCAAGGUUGAAAAAGUUGCGGUAAGAUUGGUGCUAAGGAGAUUCUGUGAAAAACUCAUGCCUGACUUACCACUCCUCCUCAGCCCCUCCGUGGCUGCACAACACUGUGGGGAUAAAGUCAAAGGUCCUUGUCAGGGCCCUCUCUGGUCAUCUUCAAACAUCAGCUCAGUGGCCACACCAGCCUUCGAUUUUACGUCAGAUCUCUGUUGGGUGCUCACAGGGACAUGUGUCUCUCCUCCAUAGCUCUCACCACAGUGGCAGCCUUCCUCGCUAGAAUGUGAGCUCCAGGAGGACAAGGACCUGUCUGUUUUUCUCCAUGUUCAAAUCUCAUGUUCCGGCACAGGACCUGCUUGCACUGGGACUGCUCAGCAAAUAUUGGCGGAACUAAUGAACUCCACAUCGGAAGGCAGGUACCGCACGAGUGGGAGUGGGUGAAUCAUUUUGCCUCUUUCAUUUUCUUACUUACAGAAUGGAUUAUAUCAGUUCUAUGUCUUUUUCAAAGAGGUGAAAUAACACUAAGCGCUUUAUAAGUCAUUGAGGGCUCUAUAGAUUAUUUUUAUUAAGGAACUACUGACAGAGUAUAUCCCCAGGAUUUGGAGCACUUCCAGAAAUGUCAAUAUCUAAAGCUGAAGCCGAGCCGCUCGUGAAUGGAGCCGUGACCUGGUCUCAAAGGUGGCCUCCUUGUUGAAAUGGAGGUGGCCACGGAGACAUGCUCGAAGCCAGCCAGGAAUCAGGGCCUCUCUUCUAGAUGCCAAGCUCAGAACAGGACAAAUCUCUGAGAGUCGACUAAGGGCAUGAUUGUUGUCAGAGCAGACAGGCUGUGAGCGUGUGGUGCAGAAGGGAAAAGAGAGAAUAAAGAACAUGUGUCCAUGUGUCUCCUGCACAGGCAGGAGAAGCGGAGGUCCUGAUAGGUAACCAGCUCCAAGAACACAAAUAUCCCAGGGGCGCCUGGGUGGCUCAGUCAUUAAGCGUCUGCCUUUGGCUCGGGUCAUGAUCCCAGGGUCCUGGGAUCGAGUCCCGCAUUGGGCUCCCUGCUCGGCAGGAAGCCUGCUUCUCCCUCUCCCACUCCCCCUGCUUGUGUUCCCUCUCUCGCUCUCUCUCUCUCUGUGUCAAAUAAAUAAAUAAAAUCUUAAAAAAAAAAAAAAGAACACAAAUAUCCCAAGUGGAGAAGUGAACUUGUCCCACCUCCCUGGGAAAUGUACCCAACCAACUCCAUCCAUCUUUAUUCUUGCUAAAUAUUUUCA
ensembl:lncRNA